UACAGAGGGUGCGAGCGUUGUUCGGAAUUAUUGGGCGUAAAGGGCGCGUAGGCGGUGCGGUAAGUCACCUGUGAAAUCUCCUGGCUCAACUGGGAGCUUGCAGGCGAAACUGCCGUGCUGGAGUGUGGGAGAGGUGCGUGGAAUUCCUGGUGUAGCGGUGAAAUGCGUAGAUAUCAGGAGGAACACCGGUGGCGAAGGCGGCUUCCUGGACCGACACUGACGCUGAGGCGCGAAAGCUAGGGGAGCAAACGGG
rnacentral:rRNA from 1 species